rnacentral:tRNA from 1 species
GGGCUCUUAGCUCAGCCGGUUCAGAGCGCUUGCUUCACACGCAAGAGGUCGCUGGUUCGAUCCCAGUAGAGCCCACAA